rnacentral:tRNA from 1 species
GCCCCAGUGGCCUAAUGGAUAAGGCACUGGCCUGCUAAGCCAGGGACUGGGGUUCGAGUCCCAUCUGGGGUG